CGGUUGAUCCUGCCGGAGGUCACUGCUAUCGGAGUACGACUUAGCCAUGCGAGUCACAGGGGGGCAACCCACUGGCGGACGGCUCAGUAACACGUAGCUAACCUACCCUCGGGACGGGUACAACCCCGGGAAACUGGGGCUAAUGCCCGAUAGACACCGCUUCUGGAAAGAUCCGGUGUCCAAAGCCCCGGCGCCCGAGGAUGGGGCUGCGGCCGAUUAGGUUGUUGGCGGGGUAAAAGCCCACCAAGCCGACGAUCGGUACGGGCAGUGAGAGCUGUAGCCCGGAGAUGGGGACUGAGACAAGGCCCCAGGCCCUACGGGGCGCAGCAGGCGCGAAACCUUCACAAUGCUCGAAAGAGUGAUGAGGGUACUCCGAGUGCCUAUGCUUUGCAUAGGCUUUUCUCCAGCGUAAAUAGUUGGGGGAAUAAGGGCUGGGCAAGACCGGUGCCAGCCGCCGCGGUAACACCGGCAGCCCAAGUGGUGACCGUUUUUAUUGGGCCUAAAGCGUUCGUAGCCGGACAGGCAAGUCUUUGGGUAAAUCCUACGUCCCAAGCGUGGGAAUUCUAAAGAUACUACCUGUCUUGAGGCCGGAAGAGGCUGGAGGUACUUCUGGGGUAGGGGUAAAAU
rnacentral:rRNA from 1 species